rnacentral:rRNA from 1 species
CCUACGGGUGGCAGCAGUGGGGGAUAUUGCACAAUGGGGGAAACCCUGAUGCAGCGACGCCGCGUGUGGGAAGACGGUCCUCUGGAUUGUAAACCACUGUCUCCAGGGACGAAGAUGACGGUACCUGGGGAGGAAGCUCCGGCUAACUACUGGCCAGCAGCCGCGGUAAUACGUGGGGCGCGAGCGUUGUGCGGAAUUACUGGGUGUAAGGGGAGCGUAGGCGGGGCUGCAAGUUGGGGGUCAAAUCGACCGGUUAAACCAGUAGCCGCACUCAAAACUGCAGUUCUUGAGGGAAGUAGAGGGAGGCGGAAUUCCUGGUGUAGCAGUGAAAUGCGUAGAUAUUGGGUGGAACACCAAUGGCGAAGGCGGCCUGCUGGGCUUUUACUGACGCUGAGGCUCGGAAGUGUGGGGAGCAAACAGGAUUAGAUACCCGAGUAGUC